CCCUUAGAUGUCCUGGGCCGCACGCGCGUUACACUGAUGCAUUCAACGAGCUUAUAACCUUGGCCGAGAGGCCUGGGCAAUCUUGUUAACGUGCAUCGUGAUAGGGAUAGAUUAUUGAAAUUAUUAAUCUUGAACGAGGAAUUCCUAGUAAACGCAGAUCAUCAAUCUGCAUUGAUUACGUCCCUGCCCUUUGUACACACCGCCCGUCGCACCUACCGAUUGGAUGGUCCGGUGAGGCUUUGGGAUCUGAGCGGAAAGAGCGUUUCGCUGUUUCUGCUCGGAAAACUCAGUCGAACCUUAUCAUUUAGAGGAAGGAGAGGUCGUAACA
rnacentral:rRNA from 1 species